rnacentral:rRNA from 1 species
UACGUAGGUGGCGAGCGUUGUCCGGAUUUACUGGGCGUAAAGAGCGCGCAGGCGGCUGGGCAAGUCCGAUGUGAAAGCUUCCGGCUUAACUGGAAAAUUGCAUCGGAAACUGCUCGGCUUGAAGGUGGGAGAGGGUAGCGGAAUUCCAGGUGUAGCGGUGAAAUGCAUAGAUAUGUCACAGAACACCGAUUGCGAAGGCAGCCUACUAAAGUGCGAUUGACGCUGAGGCACGAAAGCGUGGGGAUCAAACAGG